UCUUUCGGGACCUCUCGCUGCAGGGGCGGCCGAUGGCAGAUUAGCUAGUUGGUGGGGUAAAGGCCUACCAAGGCGACGAUCUGUAGCUGGUCUGAGAGGACGACCAGCCACACUGGGACUGAGACACGGCCCAGACUCCUACGGGAGGCAGCAGUGGGGAAUUUUGGACAAUGGGGGCAACCCUGAUCCAGCAAUGCCGCGUGUGUGAAGAAGGCCUUCGGGUUGUAAAGCACUUUUGUCCGGAAAGAAAACUUCGGGGUUAAUACCCCUGGAGGAUGACGGUACCGGAAGAAUAAGCACCGGCUAACUACGUGCCAGCAGCCGCGGUAAUACGUAGGGUGCGAGCGUUAAUCGGAAUUACUGGGCGUAAAGCGUGCGCAGGCGGUCCGCUAAGACCGAUGUGAAAUCCCCGGGCUUAACCUGGGAACUGCAUUGGUGACUGGCGGGCUAGAGUAUGGCAGAGGGGGGUAGAAUUCCACGUGUAGCAGUGAAAUGCGUAGAGAUGUGGAGGAAUACCGAUGGCGAAGGCAGCCCCCUGGGCCAAUACUGACGCUCAUGC
rnacentral:rRNA from 1 species